GGGGAAUCUUGCGCAAUGGGCGAAAGCCUGACGCAGCCAUGCCGCGUGAAUGAUGAAGGUCUUAGGAUUGUAAAAUUCUUUCACCGGGGACGAUAAUGACGGUACCCGGAGAAGAAGCCCCGGCUAACUUCGUGCCAGCAGCCGCGGUAAUACGAAGGGGGCUAGCGUUGCUCGGAAUUACUGGGCGUAAAGGGAGCGUAGGCGGACAUUUAAGUCAGGGGUGAAAUCCCAGAGCUCAACUCUGGAACUGCCUUUGAUACUGGGUGUCUUGAGUGUGAGAGAGGUAUGUGGAACUCCGAGUGUAGAGGUGAAAUUCGUAGAUAUUCGGAAGAACACCAGUGGCGAAGGCGACAUACUGGCUCAUUACUGACGCUGAGGCUCGAAAGCGUGGGGAGCAAAC
rnacentral:rRNA from 1 species